rnacentral:rRNA from 1 species
AUACGGAGGGUGCGAGCGUUAAUCGGAAUUACUGGGCGUAAAGCGUGCGUAGGCGGUUUGCUAAGUCAGAUGUGAAAGCCCCGGGCUUAACCUGGGAACUGCAUUUGAUACUGGCAGACUAGAGUAUGAUAGAGGGGGGUAGAAUUCCUGGUGUAGCGGUGAAAUGCGUAGAUAUCAGGAGGAAUACCAGUGGCGAAGGCGGCCCCCUGGAUCAAUACUGACGCUGAGGUACGAAAGCGUGGGGAGCGAACAGGAGUAGAUACCCCUGUAGUCC